CGUCGCCACGGGAAUACGUAGGGUGCGAGCGUUAAUCGGAAUUACUGGGCGUAAAACGUGCGCAGGCGGUUAUAUAAGACAGAUGUGAAAUCCCCGGGCUCAACCUGGGACCUGCAUUUGUGACUGUAUAGCUAGAGUACGGUAGAGGGGGAUGGAAUUCCGCGUGUAGCAGUGAAAUGCGUAGAUAUGCGGAGGAACACCGAUGGCGAAGGCAAUCCCCUGGACCUGUACUGACGCUCAUGCACGAAAGCGUGGGGAGCAAACAGUAUUAGAUAUCCCUGUAGUCCCUGUCUCUUAUACC
rnacentral:rRNA from 1 species